rnacentral:rRNA from 1 species
UACGUAGGGUGCGAGCGUUGUCCGGAAUCAUUGGGCGUAAAGCGCGUGUAGGCGGCUCGGUCAGUCUGAUGUGAAAUCUUGGGGCUCAACCCCAAGCGGUCAUUGGAUACUGCCGGGCUUGAGUCCGGAAGAGGAGAGUGGAAUUCCUGGUGUAGCGGUGGAAUGCGCAGAUAUCAGGAGGAACACCAAUGGCGAAGGCAGCUCUCUGGUACGUGACUGACGCUGAGACGCGAAAGCGUGGGGAGCAAACAGG